rfam:Desulfitibacter sp. BRH_c19 BRHa_1003039, whole genome shotgun sequence.
UAGAACUAGUCAUUUGAAUUGGUAGGGGAAGUACCUGCCUGACUCUGUGUGAGGGGUAACAAAAUCUCUAAUACUCCGACGUGCAUGAAGCAAUGCCAUGUCUAAUGUACGAAGCUUGGUGAAGUAGCGGAAAAUGAUAUCUGUGAUGAUAUUAAGUACGCUGGAGGCUAAAAA